GAGGACCGUAUUCAUGGAAGAGGAUUGAACAGACUACUGAGUUCUUAAGAGAAAAAUGGCACUUAAGAAAUUGAUGGUGAUAUCAAAGGAAGGUUACUUAUUACUCUUGGACUUUGAUGAUGAGGACGAUGACAUAAAAGUUUCAGAGGAGGCUCUUGCGGAAGUAAAGAGCCCAGGAUUUGAUAAAAAUGAGAAUAUAUCGCCUCAAGCAGAAGCAGAUGAAUAUAUGGGAGAUGAAGUAGACAGUAUGUUGGAUAAAUCUGGAGUAAAGAACCCAGCAAUUGGUAAAGAUGAGAAUAUAUCGCCUCAAGUAAAAGGAGAUGAAGACAUGGGAGAUGAAAUUGACAGUAUGUUGGCUACAUCUGGAGGUCUUUUCUCCUGAGAACACGGGACUCCAGCAUCUUCGGAUUCUGCUCUUGGAGCUGCAUCAUUGGACUGAAAGUGAAUGGCCCAUGUGUUGCCACUGAUGUGAGCCAUUUGCCUGUUGUGCUUCA
rnacentral:precursor_RNA from 1 species